AUGGAUUACACCCAACGUGCUAUUUUUUGGAACGUCAGGGGUCUGAACUGCCCUGCUAAACGUUCGGCCGUGCGCUCCAUCAUUUCCUCGGCCACCCCCUCGAUUGUAUGCUUGCAAGAAACGAAGCUUUCCACCGUCUCUUCAUCCAUUGUCACCGAAGCUUGUGGGCAGGCCUUCUGCAGCUUCCACUUUCUCCCGUCCACGGAAACCCGAGGCGGCAUCCUCCUCGCUUGGCAGGACGACCUCGUGUCCAUCUCACAUCCCACGAUUGGCACGCAUUUCAUCAACGCUCUCAUCUCCCCUCUAGAUGGUAGCCCGCACUGGUGGAUCACUGGUGUCUACGGACCCAACGACGAGGCAGCCAAAAUCGAGUUCCUCUCUGAUCUUCAUGACACGCGCUCCACUUGCAAUGGCCCGUGA
rnacentral:rRNA from 1 species